UACGUAGGGCGCGAGCGUUAUCCGGAAUUAUUGGGCGUAAAGAGCUCGUAGGCGGUUUGUCGCGUCUGGCUGUGAAAACUGGAGGCUCAACCUCCAGCCUGCAGUGGGUACGGGCAGACUCGAGUGCGGUAGGGGAGAUUGGAAUUCCUGGUGGUAGCGGUGGAAUGCGCAGAUAUCAGGAGGAACACCGAUGGCGAAGGCAGAUCUCUGGGCCGUAACUGACGCUGAGGAGCGAAAGCAUGGGGAGCGAACGG
rnacentral:rRNA from 1 species